GGGGGUAGCUCAGUGGUAGAGCAUGUGCUUAGCAUGCAUGAGGUCCUGGGUUCAAUCCCCAGUACCUCCA
rnacentral:tRNA from 1 species